rfam:Pelodiscus sinensis unplaced genomic scaffold scaffold1223, whole genome shotgun sequence.
GGUACCAUGGCUUAGCUGGCUAAAGUGCCUGCCCAGUAAACAGGAGAUCCUAGGUUCAAGUCCUAGUGGUGCCC